rnacentral:lncRNA from 1 species
AUGAAGAACAUGUGGUCACUAGCACGCUUUAGUAUUUUGGCUUUGACACGUGCUAGAGUGCUAGCAGGUUUACCCAACAUCACUGAAAAUUCAACACGGGAAGGCAAAUCACGAUUUGCUGCCAUUAUGAAACCUUUCACCUGGGGGCACUUAAACAACAUCUGGAUGUGUCUUGGGGGGGAGCCUUCAGAGGCUCCAGGCCCACACUUUAGACACCACUGCCUGACGCUAAUCAUGGCCCAUCUACAGGCCCGGGUUAAAGUCAGCUUCCCCCAGACAGGACCUUGGUUGGGGAAGGAUGGACAUCUGAUCCGAACGAAAAUCUUCAGGUCAAGAGGGAAACAGACGCACAGACCUCGACUAACAGAACCAAAGGCCCCACAGAACCUGUUUCCACUCCAUCGAAUGAAAUUCCACCCGGUUAUUCAAGUGUAAACCUGGAAGGCAUUCCUCUCCCCUCCUUCCUUCUCAUUUAUCACCACCAGUCAAUUAACUCCUGUGGAUGAUCACACCUUUCAGCUCUUGUCUUAGUUUUAUUUGCCCAUGCAAUAGGGAAGUCCCAUCCCCCCUCCACAUGCACCUCACCGGGGUCAUGAUCUCAGGGCCUUCAUCUGUUCUCUCUGAACCCCAACAGAGUGGGUGGGCUAUAUAGUUAGCGCGUAUACACUUGUUGAAUCAGUAUUUGUGAAAGCCUGAAACAACACCCGCCCCAGCCCAGCUGCACUUCAUCUGAGCUUACUUCCCUGCCCCAGACAUAAUCCCUGUCAUCAGUGUGGCUUCUAGACCUUUGUAUGUAGAAAUAGACUGUUUCAGUUUUUACUGAAAUGGGAUGGUAGCGCAUAGAUCAUUCAACCUUU